rnacentral:rRNA from 1 species
AUAAUAAUUAGUCUUUUAAUUGGAGGCUAGAAUGAAGGAUUGAACGAGAUAAUUUCUGUCUCAUUUAAAUUAAAUAAUUGAAUUUUAUUUUUAAGUUAAAAAGCUUAAAUUAAAUUAUAGGACGAGAAGACCCUAUAGAGUUUUAUAUUUUAUAUUUUAAUAGAUUUAAAUUAUAUUUUUAAUUAUAUAAAAUAUUUUGUUGGGGUGAUGGAAAAAUUUAAUUAACUUUUUUAAUUUAAUUACAUUGAUUAAUGAAUUUUUGAUCCUAAACUUUAGAUUAUUAGAUUAAAUUACCUUAGGGAUAACAGCGUAAUUUUUUUAUUAAGUACUUAUUGAUAAAAAAGUUUGC